GGUUAUUGGAUUAGGUGAAGUCUUGCCCCUUCAGUAGUAAGUCUAUGUGAUCCAAGUCAUGAACAGGCAAGAAAAGCGAAGAGUUAUCUUGUGAGGUAGGGUAUUGCCAGUUCUUUCAAAAAUUUUCAGGAUAGCAUUAAAAUCACCACUCAGUAUCUAAGGGCCCAUGAAUCUAUAUCUCACACCCCUCAACUCCUCCUAGA
rnacentral:lncRNA from 1 species